rnacentral:rRNA from 1 species
GUAGGUGGCAAGCGUUGUCCGGAAUUAUUGGGCGUAAAGCGCGCGCAGGCGGUUCUUUAAGUCUGAUGUGAAAGCCCACGGCUCAACCGUGGAGGGUCAUUGGAAACUGGAGAACUUGAGUACAGAAGAGGAAAGCGGAAUUCCACGUGUAGCGGUGAAAUGCGUAGAGAUGUGGAGGAACACCAGUGGCGAAGGCGGCUCUCUGGUCUGUAACUGACGCUGAGGCGCGAAAGCGUGGGGAGCAAACAGGAUUAGAUACCCUGGUAGUCCACGCCGUAAACGAUGAGUGCUAAGUGUUAGGGGGGUUUCCGCCCCCCUUAGUGCUGCAGCUAACGCAUUAAGCACUCCGCCUGGGAUACGGCCGCAAGGCUG